rnacentral:lncRNA from 1 species
AUGGGAUGCCCAAAUACAGAACUCAAGGCAAGACUAAAAGGCCCAUCAGUUUCACAAUGGAUUCACAUUCUUGGAACUUGGGUGGCUACUGGAGAUCCUCCAAAUCCAUUAGAAAACCACAAGAUGGAAAAAGUCAGGCAGCAACCAAGUGGGUUUAUAUUGACUCCAACGGCUCUGGAGAGAAGAGAGCAAGUGGCAGGGCCAAGGCGGCAUGGAAAAUAUCCUCUCUGGAGAGGCAGAGGGAGAGCGCAGUGGUUAAAGCAGCUCCUCCUCCCCCACCUUCAUUUUGGACUGAGGGAACUGCUGGGCUCCAAGGGGACCUUCAACAUGGAGGCUGGGGCUGCCCUCGGGAGCUCCUUGAUCUGCGCCCACAACAAUAAAAUGCCAUUCAUGAAAAUGAAAGGGGGGAACCUUUUCUUUGCCCAACAAUUCCUAAUCCAAGGUUAAGCCAUCCGGGCGCCUUUACUGUUUGCUCAAACCCGAGGAGAUCCCCCCUGAAAUGCAGAGCCCUGGAUGACUGGACACUCGGGGUUUGGGGAGAACAGAAGAUGAGGAAAAGAGGGAAGAAUUGGGGGAGCCCAGUGAGGACACGAGCAGAAGUAUCUACAAGGAAGGGGCAGCAAGGAAAGGCUCCUCACAAAUCUAUGUGCAUCCUUCUUGAAGAUGAGACUCUGGGCUUCUCCGGGUGUCCAAGGCAAGAAACAAGGAGCUAAGGGAAGAGUCCUGGGUUCGAAUUUCAGUGAACUUUGGUUAAGUGAGGCUGAACCUAGAGGAGCUUUCCCAAGUAUUGCUCAGGAAGCACAGUGAUUGCCACUGGGAGCGAGCGCACCGGGCCCUGGGGCAGCCCACGCAGGAGAGUCCUCCUGCCACUUCCCAUCGGGGAGUCAUUAGGGAACUGCUGAUAACUGCUGGACCUUCUGGCGAGCGGAUGGAGAAGGGCCCUCUGGACAGAGGCUCUGGUCCAGUCCACUCCCCGAACAAGCCCCCUGGUCCCCGGCACCCCCCGGGAGGACCCAGUUCCAUUGGUAUUUUAGCCCCAACGACCGACUCGGAAGGCUCCUCAGAGCAUCGACCAGACAGACCCUCGGGAGGGAGGAGGAAGCACCAGUCGCCCAGGCUAAGGGCUCCCCUUCCCCCCAGCCCGCAGUUCCCCUACUUCAUUUGCAAAGCCCGGAAACACGAAGCCCAGGUCGGGUAGCCUCCACCCCCGGGGCCAGGCAGCCUCUCGGGCGCCCCUCCUAACCCCCGCUCCCGCCCCGCCCGGGGACACAAAACCAGGCACUGGGCACCCGCAGGAGCAGCCACGUUCUUCCUGGUACCAGGCAACAGGUGUGGGCGCCCCGGGCGCACUGCACAGGGACGGCGCGCAGCGGCAAGCUCGGGGACUCCCAGGGACUACGGAGAGAGCGCGAAGCCACCUACAAUCCGUGGCCGCUGCCCCUGGACC